AACCCAAAGGACUUGACGGUGUCCCACCCCACUAGAGGAGCCUGUUCUAUAACCGAUAAUCCACGUUUUACCUAACCACUUUUUGCCUUUCAGCCUGUAUACCUCCGUCGCAAGCCUACCAUGUGAAUGAACUACAGUAGGCCCAAUAGCCUAAACUCUAUAACGUCAGGUCAAGGUGCAGCUUAUAAAGUGGAAAGUAAUGGGCUACAAUCUCUAACUUAGAACAAACGAAUUACUACAUGAAAAAUAGUCAUGAAGGCGGAUUUAGCAGUAAAUAGGGAAUAGAGAGCCCUAUUAAACCUGGCCCUGGGACGUGUACAAACCGCCCGUCACCCUCUUCGAUAG
rnacentral:rRNA from 1 species